rnacentral:rRNA from 1 species
AUUGAACGCUGGCGGCAUGCUUUACACAUGCAAGUCGAACGGUAACAGGUUAAGCUGACGAGUGGCGAACGGGUGAGUAAUGCAUCGGAACGUGCCCGAUCGUGGGGGAUAACGCAGCGAAAGCUGCGCUAAUACCGCGUACGAUCUGAGGAUGAAAACGGGGGACCGUAAGGCCUCGCGCGCUCGGAGCGGCCGAUGUCAGAGUAGGGAGUUGGUGGGGUAAAGGCCCACCAAGCCGACGAUCUGUAGCUGGUCUGAGAGGACGACCAGCCACACUGGGACUGAGACACGGCCCAGACUCCUACGGGAGGCAGCAGUGGGGAAUUUUGGACAAUGGGCGAAAGCCUGAUCCAGCAAUGCCGCGUGCAGGAAGAAGGCCUUCGGGUUGUAAACUGCUUUUGUACGGAGCGAAAAGGUCCUUUCUAAUACAAGGGGCUCAUGACGGUACCGUAAGAAUAAGCACCGGCUAACUACGUGCCAGCAGCCGCCGUAAGAC